rnacentral:rRNA from 1 species
UAACCUGCCCAAGAGAUCGGGAUAACACCUGGAAACAGAUGCUAAUACCGGAUAACAACAGAUGAUGCCUAUCAACUGUUUAAAAGAUGGUUCUGCUAUCACUCUUGGAUUGACCUGCGGUGCAUUAGCUAGUUGGUAGGGUAACGGCCUACCAAGGCGAUGAUGCAUAGCCGAGUUGAGAGACUGAUCGGCCACAUUGGGACUGAGACACGGCCCAAACUCCUACGGGAGGCAGCAGCU